UACGUAGGGGGCAAGCGUUGUCCGGAAUCAUUGGGCGUAAAGCGCGUGUAGGCGGUUCGGUAAGUCCGCUGUGAAAGUCGGGGGCUCAACCCUCGAAUGCCGGUGGAUACUGUCGGACUAGAGUACGGAAGAGGCGAGUGGAAUUCCUGGUGUAGCGGUGAAAUGCGCAGAUAUCAGGAGGAACACCAAUUGCGAAGGCAGCUCGCUGGGACGUUACUGACGCUGAGACGCGAAAGCGUGGGGAGCAAACAGG
rnacentral:rRNA from 1 species